AAACCACUCAGGUUGCGCUUCUUCGAAGCCCCAGCUUGGUCUUGGGCCUGAGGGUAUCAGAACCCUCUGCCUGCAAUGCAGUGGGCGGAUAUUCCGGCACGGGCAAGAGCGUGAUAAAGACUUUGUUCGCGAUUGCACGCCGGAACGUCCCGCCAUCGUGAACCCCCGAAUCCAUUUUCAA
rnacentral:misc_RNA from 1 species